rnacentral:siRNA from 1 species
GGACUAAUCCCUCAGCGGUCUA